GACGAAGGUGGCGAGCGUUAUUCGGAUUUACUGGGCAUACAGCGCGCGUAGGCGGCUCGACAAGUCGGGGGUGAAAGCCUGCAGCUCAACUGCGGUGUGCCUUCGAAACUGUCGAGCUUGAGUGCAGGAGGGGUGAUUGGAACUCCAGGUGUAGCGGUGAAAUGCGUAGAUAUCGGAAGGAACACCAGUGGCGAAAGCGACUUCCUGGUCCAAUACUGACGUUCAUGUGCGAAAGCGUGGGGAGCAAACAGG
rnacentral:rRNA from 1 species